AUCCUGUGCUCGCAUUGGGGUGAAGCGAGGAGUAACUCCACUGCAGCAAACAGAGCUUUGCCAAGGUGAAAUUUCUGUGGAAGACGAAUGAGCCCUUUGUUUUAAUAUUAGCUUAUAAAGCCUGUGCACAGCUCCAGCACAGCGCUCUGGUUUUAAUUAAUAAGAAUUAGCAUAUACAUCUACAUACACUCUUUUUUUUCCCUUUGCGGGCUCGGCUACUUUGAAGAAAACCUCUUUGUAUGUCUUGCUGGUUAUCCUAUAUCUCGACAUUAAAAAAACCCAAACGAAUAAAACCCCAAAACUAAAGUAACAUCAAACUCCCACGCAAACAAAAGGCUUAGCUGCUGCCGGUGGCGGGGAGUGCUGGGAGCAGCCCUUCCCGCCUGCCGAGAGGAGCCGGCUUCCAGCCCAUGCUCCUCACUGCUGGGGAGCCGUCCAAUUCCCAGCCCGCCGUCCCUUCCUCCGCCUUUGCACAAUCCCACUGCAGUGACUUCCCAGUCCUAAUUGGAGCCUCUGGGCAUUAUUGUAUUAUUAUUAUUUAAUAAACAACCACAUAAAACACUGGUUGACAUUUAAAUAAGAGUAAAGAAAGGAAAGCCCUGACUCCUAGACUGUUUUGUUUUCCUGUUGACUUGGGUGGAAGCAGGAGCAGGUUUUCUAAACAAUACCCGCACCCGCUCGACACAUACUUACCUUUAAUGUUUUAGAAAAGGCACUGCUAACAUGGGCCCGGUGCGGGUGAGAGGGCCAGACCUACUGCAGCUGUCAAUCCCUGUUGCAACAUAAGCUGUAAAUAUAGACCCGUAACCUGGACAUUCCCGAGUAAAAUACACGAACGGCUCGUCUUGCCUAAGCUACUAAUCCUUGCUUAGGCAAGGAUUCAGCAUCAUUUUCUGCAUUGUUACCCCCAGCAUGUCCUUUCGAGUGGUUAUCCGAAAUGUGCAGCCGUCAGGAUGCUAUUAAGAAUAAAUGGAAAGAUAGUUUUAUUUUUGCAUUUGAUUGUAUGUUUGAGACAAUUCAGAGUGAGAGUUAUCAUGACAAAAGAAAACGUGGUGUCCUUGAAGUGAACGCAGAGGAGCACAACUCGUUCAAUAAGGUUUUGAAAGAAAACAAAGAGCUGAAGGCCAGAACUGACUCCUUUAGAAACAAGUAUAAAACAAGACAGGAUUCGAAGUGCUUAAAAUACUUUGGUGACAAGCAACAAAGAAGCGUCUGUUACUAGAAUUGAUUGAAUUAAGGAAAGGGAGAGAAAAUCUUGAGAACUUUUUGAGAAGUAGAGAUUUGAUGUGUGGGGAGUAUAAGAACAAUAUUCUCCCGGGCCACGACCAGAGCUCUGAAUCAGCAUAACUCUUUUCCUUGAAGAAAGUGAAAACUAGACAAGAAGCUCAGUCUGAGUGGUUUAUUCAUGGAAAAUCAGAAGACAGUCUUCAAAAUGGCCAGUAGACCAAAGAAGCUGGGCUGGGAGCAUCUGUAUCUUCCCAUUUGAAAACUUUGCCUGUUUCUUGCUCCUGCAGAGUACCUGGCAACACUGCCCAUCAUCUUUGGACUUCUAGAAUCAUGUUCCUGGUUGAAGGGAAGUAACUUCCUGAGAACAAAAACAGCCAGAAAGCAACAGAGACAUGGGGUCACUGGAGGCACCACCUAACAGCCCUCCGGACGUCUUGGAAGUAACAGCAUUGGGAUAGCCUAGAUACAAAUGCACAGACUGGCAAAAGACCCAGAUAAACAUAGUUGUUCAAGAUGGUUUCAAUGCCUCUCACCUAACCCCAGCCAUCUGAUAGCUCAGCAUCUAGCCCACACCAGUCUUUACGCCCUAUGGAGACAAAGAGGCACCUUCCAGGAAUGCUUUGUUCCAGCCCAAAAUAGAUCCACUCGCUUUGCCAGCUGAAGACUGCCCGGUCAGCUCUGCCAGAAGCCCGGGGUCACGGAGCAGGAGACAGACUGUGGCACUGUGCUGCAAGGAUGGGAAGCAUGGACUUAGUUUUGUGGAGGCUGCACGGAGGGAGCAGUCUGGUGAGUAUUCGCACAGACACUGCAUCCAGUCUGGUAGGCAGAAGAAGAAACGCACCCUCCUUAUUUAUAGGAAGAUGGAGGUUGCUAUGCUAGGCCAAACUGAUUAAGUCUGGUAUCCUGCUUCAGACAACGAUGCACACUGGCUGCUAGAGGAGGUGCAAGAAAUGCUGUAGUAAAACAAAGAUAAAAUCACUCAACAUGGACAUGUCUCACUGUCCUAUGGAUAUCUAGGUCACUAGUUAACUGUGUCAACAACUAGUGACCAGCAUGAGCUGGGAAGGAUGAAAGCUUUACGCUGAACUAUUCCAGUUGGUGUCCUACAUGGUUCCUCUUACUUGGCUGAAACAAAAAUGAAGAAAGAAUGAUACCCCCCCAUUCUGUUUCUUCUGAAAUAUAUGACAAACCAUGUAUUGUUCUCAAAGGUGCAGGAUCAAACCUGUCAUUAUCUCACACAGAGUGCAAUAAGUAUCAUGACUAAGAGUUAACAGUGCAUCAAAAAUUAUCAUCUCUAAGUCUUGUUGGCAGGCUUUACAUGAACCGAACCAGGUUGUCAACUGCCUUCUUCAAUGACAACUGAUUAUAUUACAAAGAACUGCAACAACAAGGCAUUUAUUUUUCAUUUUUAGGAAUUUGAAUGAGGAGAUCUCAUUACCCAGAAUCAGGAUGCAUCUUGCUCAGUGGAUACAAUAACAAAUGGAUUCUUCAAAUCCCUAAUUCACAAGCAUUUCAGAGCGAGAUAGUUCAGCAGCAUAAGAAAGAUGUACUAUUCCUAGAAAUCUCCUGACUCAACUCCUGUCCUGUAUCUGUCAGCGAUUCAAUAGCAUGGCAGUUAUAAUUGAGCACAAACAUAGUUCUGUUAGCAAACAGGAAGAAGCUGGGCAGGAGCACCAAGAUGGCAAUGGGCUGGGUGGGUGCCAAGGUGGGUGGUCACACCUGGUCAGGGCUGUGAGAUCAGCGAUAUGGGUAAGGUGAUCAGGCUUGCAGAGGGAAAAUCCGAGUUGCCUGUCACUGUGUGGUGAUAAGAAAGGAGGAUGCACAAGGAGGAUGAUAAGCUUGAUGGGCGCUUAACAAGGCAAAGCUGAUAAGCCUGAUGGGCACUUAACAAGGCAAAAAUGAGAUACAACAGUGCUUCAUUUCUGUUUCUUUAAUUAGUAAUUCUCUUACCUUUUCCUUUGCAUUGAAUACUUUGUAUAAGAAAGCACUGGCUGCAGCACUUAGACAUAUAGUCUAUAGACUUCUGUAGAUUUACAGACAUUGUGUGACAUGGUUGGAGAGAGGGUGGAUUAUCAGCAGGUAGCCAGCAGCCUGGGGAGAGGUUCUUGAGAUUUGUGUGCUUCUAUGUGCAUCUUCUCAACCUCACCUGCUCAGUUGGAGAUUUGGAAAAAAACAAGACUGUGCGCUAUUUAUGAAAGUGAUGGUGACAUCAGGACAAAAAUACAUGAUCCACGUAGUUCCUGAAGCUAGAGAUUACUCACAGGAUAUUGCUAGGGCAUCAGAUAAAGAUUUUAACAAGUGGGUGUAAAAAUUUCAUCACAAGUCUGUCUUUAGGAACCCAAGGAACUGGUCCUAUUUUCAAAAGUGUGGAAUCACUGACAACUUCAGCAGCUUUCUUCCUCCUGAUCUUAUUUUCUGAAUGGAUUAGGGCUCAGUUGUUCAGGCUUGUUCUACUUGCCUGAAUUGGUAGUAUGCAUAACAAACCAGUAGGAUGGGGCAGCUCCUUUUCCUGUCUUUUAUUUGAAGUUCUUUAAAAUUAUCAAAUAUCUGCAGAUGCAUAAACCAUCAAAAUACAAAUAAAUGGAAAAGAAAAUUUGCUGUUAAAUGCCUCCUUCUUCCCCACUCCAACCUUGUGGUUGGAGGUUCCUUCCUAUCAGUCAGCUCCUGGCACCAACUGGUGUGUGGACACAUCCCUCCUGCCUCCUAAUGGCUCCUUGGGGAGAGAAGAAUCUGCCCAAAUUAUCCUGAAGAGAGAUUAUGGCUUCAGUGGUGAAACUCAU